AGCAGUAUAGUGUACGGAAGCACACGGGGUUUUCUUGAGCGCUCCCCCUGACAUUGAAUCCCGAAGUCCUUGUUCAAAUCAAGGUACUGCUC